GAGUGAAAUGAUGUUUUACCAUCUUUCGGGACUGACAUUCAAUGGAGACAUACUUGCUAUUACUGAUCACUC